rnacentral:tRNA from 1 species
GGCUAAAUGAUCUCCAGUCAAAAGAGCCUCUGACUUUUAAUCAGAGGGUCCUGGGUUCGAGUCCCAG